GAUGAACGCUGGCGGCGUGCCUAACACAUGCAAGUCGAGCGAUUUACUUCGGUAAAGAGCGGCGGACGGGUGAGUAACGCGUGGGUAACCUGCCCUGUACACACGGAUAACAUACCGAAAGGUAUGCUAAUACGAGAUAAUAUGCUUUUAUCGCAUGGUAGAAGUAUCAAAGCUCCGGCGGUACAGGAUGGACCCGCGUCUGAUUAGCUAGUUGGUAAGGUAACGGCUUACCAAGGCGACGAUCAGUAGCCGACCUGAGAGGGUGAUCGGCCACAUUGGAACUGAGACACGGUCCAAAUUCCUACGGGAGGCAGCAGUGGGGAAUAUUGCACAAUGGGCGAAAGCCUGAUGCAGCAACGCCGCGUGAGCGAUGAAGGCCUUCGGGUCGUAAAGCUCUGUCCUCAAGGAAGAUAAUGACGGUACUUGAGGAGGAAG
rnacentral:rRNA from 1 species